rnacentral:rRNA from 1 species
UACGGAGGGGCGUAGCGUUGUUCGGAAUUACUGGGCGUAAAGCGCACGUAGGCGGACGGAGAAGUCAGAGGUGAAAUCCCAGGGCUCAACCUUGGAACUGCCUUUGAAACUUUCUGUCUUGAGGUCGAGAGAGGUGAGUGGAAUUCCGAGUGUAGAGGUGAAAUUCGUAGAUAUUCGGAGGAACACCAGUGGCGAAGGCGGCUCACUGGCUCGAUACUGACGCUGAGGUGCG